rnacentral:tRNA from 1 species
GCCAUCUUAGCUCAGUUGGUAGAGCAACGGAUUUGUAACCCGUAGGUCACCAGUUCGACUCUGGUAGAUGGCUCCA